UUGUGGAAUUAUUUGUCUUCCGAUUAUAGAGAAACGGCUACUUUGGGUAGUUUUAAGAAACAGAUUAAUGGGUCAAAUAAUAAUAAUAGUCAAAAUUACUUCAAUUUAAGCUUUGGAACAAGAUUCUGU